AUUGAAACACCAGUUUUCAUACAACCACCAAAGUUAAGCAACAAUGAGCCUAGUCAGUACUCAGAUGGGCAACCACUUGGGAAUAGCAGAUGCUGUAAG